rnacentral:rRNA from 1 species
CACGUAGGGGCCAAGCGUUGUCCGGAUUUAUUGGGCGUAAAGAGCUCGUAGGCGGUUGGGUAAGUCGGGUGUGAAAACUCGAGGCUCAACCUCGAGACGCCGGUGGAAACCAUCAGGCUAGAGUCCGGAAGAGGAGAGUGGAAUUCCUGGUGUAGCGGUGAAAUGCGCAGAUAUCAGGAAGAACACCCGUGGCUAAGGCGGCUCUCUAGUACGGUACUGACGCUGAGACGCGAAAGCGUGGGGAGCGAACAGG